GUACCUGCUUCGGCGGCACAUAUACUAAAAUUAGAACAAUACAAAGAAGAUUAGCAUGGUGUCUGGUAAGGAUGAAUGUAAAUUUGUAAAGCAUUCUAUAUUUUA
ensembl:snRNA U6 U6 spliceosomal RNA